AGUGAACGCUGGCGGUAGGCCUAACACAUGCAAGUCGAACGGCAGCACAGUAAGAGCUUGCUCUUACGGGUGGCGAGUGGCGGACGGGUGAGGAAUACAUCGGAAUCUACUUUUUCGUGGGGGAUAACGUAGGGAAACUUACGCUAAUACCGCAUACGACCUACGGGUGAAAGCAGGGGAUCUUCGGACCUUGCGCGAAUGAAUGAGCCGAUGUCGGAUUGGCUAGUUGGCGGGGUAAAGGCCCACCAAGGCGACGAUCCGUAGCUGGUUUGAGAGGAUGGUCGCCCCCACUGGAGAUUAGACAGCCACCAGGCCCCUACGGUACGGCCCAGUCGGAUAUGUGGGGCAGGGGGGGGGAGUCUGACCCAACGAGCCCGGGGGGGUGGAAAAAGCCUUCGGUUUGGAAAGCCCUUUUUUGGGGAAAAAAAAGCAUCAGCUUGAGACCCCGCUUUUCUGACGGUACCCAAUAAAUAAGCACCGGCUAACUACGG
rnacentral:rRNA from 1 species